UUAUAGUCUCUCAAACCCGUGACCUCUCUCUCAGACCCGUGACCUCUCUCCCCUCUGCGCUCACUUUCUCCACCUGUGGUGUUGGAGGGUUGCCAGCAGAGGGCGGUGUCGCUUCCCAACCUCUUAUCACAUCCAAUGACCUCCAUCUUUUGACUCUUUUUCAAAUCUGUCUCAACUGAAUUGGGUUCUUGAUUUGUUUUUCGUGCUAUCAGAGAAAGUAUUGUAAAUUGUUUUGCGCCGCUGCAUAUUUAUUCUCAACGUAGAUUCUCAGCUUGAAACGGUGUCUAGAAGCAGGUCAUAGUAAUUUAAGAUAUCUUUUUUUAUUAUCUCAUUCUUUGAUAGACUAUUGGACUGAAGUUGCUUUGAAGGACAUCUGAGGCCGGCUUAUCCACUGAGAAACACUGAAAUUCUUUAAACAUCCAAACCACUGCCAAUUAUUUUUUGGGAAGAAGUCGUAUCUUUGAGUAAAAUGUGUUCAACUGCCUCUAUAUAAAAGCCAAAAUAAAAAUUUUGUCACAUCACGUGGGUCACAGCUACUCAUCUGGGAGGACAGUGGCCCAUUUCUGAGAAAGCCUUGUAAAUGUCACAUGGCUCGCUUGGAGGCUGGACGACAGCAGCGCCUCAUCAUCAGCCGACAACCACGAGAUCACGGCAAACAGCAGGAAGAGGAGGCUUUCUGAAGCACCCUCAGUAGCUCUUUUGUUGAGUGAAGCAUCCCUCCCAACGUGACAGGCCGCACUGGAGACGGUACUCACCAGGACGUUUCUUCAACUCAGUGUUUACUUCCGAGGAGUCAGGAGCUGGAUGCAAGUGAAAAGGGGUGUUUUGGUCCUAAUUCCUUGCAGCACAUUUCUAGUCCCGAUGAGCCAGUGGGGUCUCAUUAAUACCUCUGCUGUAUUGAGGCCUUGACACCCGAGAGCAGUGAGUGGUUACCUGAGCUCCAGAGGGAUGACUCUCCGGAGGCCAGCUGCCCACCUACCAAUAGCUCCGAGCUGGAGGAGAUCAGGGGAUGAGUCCUACUGGGAGAGCUUGAAACCAGAAGGGGAGGUUUCUCGCCUCCGACGUGCACCUCGGCCCCAGAGUGCCAUCGAAGGAGGACGCCAGCUGGACGGAUGGCUGGAGCAUCUGCAGAGGAUAGAGAGGGAACUUCUCACAGCCCCGGUUCAUAACCAGGCUCCAGCUUUCAGUGAUUGGACGACAUCCAUGCCUGCUCCGGACACAGGGCCAACCCGACCUGUCUGGAGACGGCCGGAGGUCCCCUCUUACAGCAGGGCCUCGUCUUCAUGUGGGAGUCCCAGCCUGUGCGAGAGCUCGCUGGGCAGCCAGGAGUCCCUCCAAACGGGUUUCUUUUCUCCUCCGGAGCGCAGAGGAAGCUGGGAGAGAGUUCACAUGAUGCAUACCCCAAGGAAGGAGCGCGCUCAACUCAGCUGUCUCGCUCCGGUCAAAACCGGCUGGCUGCCAAUCCAGAGAAGAGUGAGGCGGGUGGAUGAUGCUUGUAACCAAAACCAGUCUUUGGACCAGUCUGCGGGACAGGUGAAAUUGAAAGAAGCAAUCACUCCAACAAUUUGGAUGAAUCGAGCAACGGCCCACAGGCUGCAGGAUGGAGAGGUGGAGAAAAGUCACAACGGUCCCAAUGCUGUGUGUGUGAAGACGUGGCAGGCCCGUGAUCAAGACUCUGCCGCUAUCAAACAGGUGCCAGAAAGUCGGAGCUUCCCUGCUCUUGAAGGGGACCGAAGUGGAGGCGUUCAAGCUCUGAGGAGAGGCUGGAAUACCAACAGGGCGUCCGCUUUCCCUGGAGGCAGCCAGUCCAAUGUGCUCCCCGCAGGGACCAGCUCAGUUACCAAUAGGUCCUCGUUGAUGACAACAAGCAGCGCAGUCCCCCUCCAGCAAGCUCCCACGCAUCAAACGACUUUUGCCGGUCCCAUCCCCAAUGCAAACAAGUCCCACGUGCCUUUGCACAGGACAGGCGGUGCUCAGCCUGUGAGGGCAACAGUCUCACAGCCGUCACACAUACAGACCGACUCCGCUGUGACCACACUAAUCCCUCAGAACAAGGCCGGCUUCUCCUCCAUCACCAUCUCCUCCAGGAGAGUGAGCAGAUCGGCCAGUCUGCCCGGCUCCGACACCCGCCCCGCCGAACCCCGUUCUCCGCCCAUGGACCCGAACUCCGGGCGGGUCACGGUGCAGAGGAAAGCCACCAUUGUCAAGGUGACGGAGCAGAGGACCUUUUCCAGCCCCUUCUCGAGCACGAAGAGGGAGGGGACGCCGCCGGCCGGGGAGGCCUCGGACACAGUGGUCCACAGAAGAAAGGCCACCAUCAUCAAAGUGACGGAACACAGGGAGAGCUACAGUCCAGCCAGGGAAGAGUCUGGGACCAGGCGCCCAGACUACAGACACAGCUACUCCGGGGGGGUGUACGAGGAAAACAGCACGUGGAGUCCGCGGAAACUUUCGCGGCACUCUGCGGCGCCCUCUGGAUUUCACCUGGAUUCCACGAAGAGGCCAAACUCGGCUGUAGCACCGCAUGCAUCCCCUCUGGAUCCAGUGGAAAACGAUGGCGCACUGCGCAGGUCCUCGCUGUGUUUUGUGUGCGCCCCCCCCCGACGUAGCAGCGGCCAAACCCUCAGAGGUUUCCCAGAAGACGGCCGGACAGAGACCGGACAGGCCGCACAGGCCGCUGAGCUGCUACGGCAAUAUGUUUGGACACACAGAGCCAAGCACGGAGAACCUGACGCGACCAGCCUGCAGGAAACGGAGCUUUGGGCUCCCGCAGGGGGCCGAUACCAACCACAGGAACAGCAACGGCGAAGAAGCAGGUCAGCCGGCGGCAGACACCUUCAAGCCCAACGCCACGAGGAGGGCGUCCUUCGGUCUGACUCUCAUCAAGGCCCCGGGUCCCAACUCGCUGCAGUCUCAGGAGGAGGUGCUCGCCCUCAACGCGGCCGCGGUCAUAGCGAAUAUCAAACUCCAAAGGCAACUUAGCAAGAAGAAAACACCAAAUGGCAAAUCUGGGAAGGACUCUGCUCCGUCCCCGCCGGGAAAUACUGCUGCUUCGCUUGUGACAGAUGAGGGGAAGCCGCCGCCGGAUGGACGAACAAUCCGCAGCCACAGCCAGCUUAAUGUCGCUUUUGAAACGGACG